UGCCAGAUGUGGGGUUCGAACCCACGACCUCUUUCGAGGACCAGAACUUAAGUCUGGCGCCUUAGACCACUCGGCCAAUCUGAC
rnacentral:tRNA from 1 species